AACGUAGGUGGCGAGCGUUAUCCGGAAUUACUGGGCGUAAAGCGUGUGCAGGCGGGCUAGCAAGUGGUGUAUGAAAGCUCCCGGCUCAACCGGGAAGGGUUAUGCCAGACUGCUAGUCUUGAGUGCGAGAGAGGAGCGUGGAAUUCCGGGUGUGAGUGGGUGAAAUGCGUGAGAGAUCCGGAGGAACCCCAGAGGCGAAGGCGGCGCUCUGGCUCGCAACUGGACGCUCAGACACGACAGCCAUGGGGAGCGAACGGG
rnacentral:rRNA from 1 species